rnacentral:rRNA from 1 species
CAGUCGAACGGGGUUUAUAUGACGGAACUCUCCGGAGGGAAGAUAUAUAAACCUAGUGGCGGACGGGUGAGUAACGCGUGGGCAACCUGCCCUGUACCGGGGGACAACAGCCAGAAAUGGCUGCUAAUACCGCAUAAGCCUGCUGUGCCGCAUGGCACAGCAGGGAAAACCACGGUGGUACAGGAUGGGCCCGCGUCUGAUUAGUUAGUUGGCAGGGUAACGGCCUACCAAGACAACGAUCAGUAGCCGGCUUGAGAGAGUGGACGGCCACAUUGGGACUGAGACACGGCCCAGACUCCUGCGGGAGGCAGCAGUGGGGAAUAUUGCACAAUGGGGGGAACCCUGAUGCAGCAAUGCCGCGUGGGUGAAGAAGCACUCCGGUGCGUAAAGCCCUGUCAGCAGGGAAGAAAAUGACAGUACCUGGACAAGAAGCCCCGGCUAACUACGUGCCAGCAGCCGCGGUAAUACGUAGGGGGCAAGCGUUAUCCGGAUUUACUGGGUGUAAAGGGAGCGCAGGCGGCGUGGCAAGUCAGAUGUGAAAACCCGGGGCCCAACCCCGGGAGUGCAUUUGAAACUGCCAUGCUGGAGUGCCGGAGAGGUAAGCGGAAUUCCUAGUGUAGCGGUGAAAUGCGUAGAUAUUAGGAGGAACACCAGUGGCGGAGGCGGCUUACUGGACGGUAACUGACGCUGAGGCUCGAAAGCGUGGGGAGCAAACAGGAUUAGAUACCCUGGUAGUCCACGCUGUAAACGAUGAAUACUAGGUACAGGGGCACAAAAGUGCUUCUGUGCCGCAGCUAACGCAAUAAGUAUUCCACCUGGGGAGUACGUUCGCA